UCUGACGGAGCACGCCGCGUGAGCGAUGAAGGCCUUCGGGUCGUAAAGCUCUGUUGUUAGGGAAGAACAAGUGCUAGUUGAAUAAGCUGGCACCUUGACGGUACCUAACCAGAAAGCCACGGCUAACUACGUGCCAGCAGCCGCGGUAAUACGUAGGUGGCAAGCGUUAUCCGGAAUUAUUGGGCGUAAAGCGCGCGCAGGUGGUUUCUUAAGUCUGAUGUGAAAGCCCACGGCUCAACCGUGGAGGGUCAUUGGAAACUGGGAGACUUGAGUGCAGAAGAGGAAAGUGGAAUUCCAUGUGUAGCGGUGAAAUGCGUAGAGAUAUGGAGGAACACCAGUGGCGAAGGCGACUUUCUGGUCUGCAACUGACACUGAGGCGCGAAAGCGUGGGGAGCAAACAGGAUUAGAUACCCUGGUAGUCCACGCCGUAAACGAUGAGUGCUAAGUGUUAGAGGGUUUCCGCCCUUUAGUGCUGAAGUUAACGCAUAAGCAUCC
rnacentral:rRNA from 1 species